GCGGAGGCAGGUGGCGGUGG
rnacentral:misc_RNA from 1 species